rnacentral:misc_RNA from 1 species
UGGAGGUCGAUGCACGCCAGUGUGCACUCACUAUAUGUCUACCCGGUCUAUGUACAUACGGGAGUACGGUGAGAAGUCGAGUAAAUUCCGUGGAAGUGGGACUAGAACGAAAUAAGAAUUCUCGACGAGAAAAAGCUUCAUUGUAGCGAAGAAAAUCGCCGGAUUGCAAUGUAAAGCAGUGGUACUUCUUUCCCGGAAUGGCAAUCUAAUAUUUAAAUCUUCCUGGAAGUAAGGUAGCUCGAAUCGAACGCCCCGGGUGUUUCACGAGAAGAUUCGUGCGAAGUACAUUGUCGUGAAGGCUAAACCACAAUUCUACGUACGAUAUUUUUAACAGUUCCACGUUCUUCGCUUCACCGUUUCUUCCGUUAAGUAACCUAAGACGAAAAAAGGGAAAAUAUCAUUUUUUGAAGCUUCUCUUAACAUCUUUAAAACCUUUCUAAAAACAAAUUUAAAUUUCACACACUUUCUAAGCAUCCAUUAACGUGAAAUUAAUCAUAUCAAAUUAUGUGCCCACCUCAAAAUCAUUCAAAUUUUAUCACAGCUAUGUUUCACUAAAAAUGUUAUUUUAUUUUCAUUAUAUAUAAAAUAAUUGGAAUGGAUUUAGUAUAUUUUUCACCCUGUAUAUAUGUG